UUUCAUCAUAGUUUUGUAUGCUAUGAUCGGAUCUUGUGCAGAAUAGGGGAUUUUACUCUUGCAAAAGCCUGGUUGGCGAUGACUCUUCAUGCAGAGGGGAACUGACUGCUAGAGACUCAAAGCGGUAAUCUCAGGAAACAGAAGGACACAGGAGAGGAGAAAGCAAUGGGAAGAUGGAAGUCGAGAUGAGAGUGAUGUAGCCACAAGCCAAAGCAUGCCAACAACCAUACAAAGCUGGAAGAAGCAUGGAACAAUUUUUUUCUCCAGGACCAGAAGAAAGAACCAGCCUUAUGGAUACUGUGAUUUUAGUGCUGUAAGACUCAUCUUGGACUUCUGGUCUCCAGAACUUGGAAAAGAGUGGGCUUUGAGAAGAUCCAGAGCUUCUCAGAUGCACCCAAACAUGUGGAAAGGACCAGCUGUUCCUAACUGAGAUUUAUUUAUUCAUUUGCAAGACAGAGUUAUACAGAGAGAGAAGGAGGGGCAAAGAGAGGUCUUCCAUCUGCUGAUUCACUCUCCAACUGGCCACAAUGGCUGGAGCCGUGCUGGUCCUGUGUUGAUCCGAAGCCAGAAGCCAGGAGCCUCCUCCAGAUCUCCCACGUGGGUGUAGGGUCCCAAGAGUUGGGCCAUGCUACUGUUCAAGUUCUGCCCCUUCCCCGACAAUGACCUAUUCUUCAAGUCUAAGAUGUUCUUACUUCUCACUAGUGCUUGAUCACAUAGACUGCCCUGAGUGUCUCUUGGCUCCUGUUGCGCUGUGAACUUGUGAUGGACAGUGUCUCCUGCCUGUCAACAGUGGCUCCCUCAGCUGUUUCCCCACCUCCUCUGAGGGUCAGAGGCAGCUUUCAGGUUUCCUUUCACUCGUCACUUGUAUGUGACUCUAUUCUGGGUAAUAAAGCUUGAAGGGGAAUCAGCUGGGAGCAUUUCAGAAGAGAAAAUGUCUCUAUGUCUUUCUCCAGAAAUUAUUUCGCCUGUAUGUAGUAUUUGGCAGGUAGCAGCUAUCUUUCCACUAUGAGAGGAGGUCCUGGCAUGCAUUCAGGUCAUGUAUCCAUUAUUCAGGAUCCAGCCAGGAGACAGUAAUUUGACAGGGAAGGAAUUUUAACCAAACAGGGAAUUGGCUACUACAGGAUAAGAAGAAUGCUACAGAAUGCAAGAAUGACCACGACUCAUAGAGCCCAGGCAGAGUGCCUGAGGAGGGAAUAGAUCUGAAAGAGAACCCAAGAUCCAACAGCCAAAAUUCAGAGCUCAUUGGAGAGUGUGGUUAGUGCCCUCUGGACAAAGGAGGAGUUGGCUGGGGUGGCCCAAGACUGAAGUGGCAAACUGGAAAUUGAGCACUAAGGUGCUAGCAAAUCUCACCAGGAAAUCACUUUCUGGGAUCCUUCAGAGGAAGGCAAGGCAGUUGCUACAGAGAGUGAGUGCUGAAACACCAGAAAGCUGGCUCACCUGUAGGUGGAACUUGCUGGAAACCCAUCAUCUAUGAUGACUAUUGAAACUGGCAGGCAAUGUGCUGGCUGUGACAGCUGACACCCACAGGGAAACUGGGGACCCAGUGGGAUUCACUGGAAAUCUGCCCUCUGAGUGGAGUGAGCACCACAGGUUGCCUUAUGCCCUGUCUGCCACCAUGUACAGUAGAAGCCACCAUGUACAAAGUGUCCAACAGAACCUGCGUGAGGGCCCCUUCUUCCUGCAUUGUCCUCCAGCCAAUCACUGAGAAGUUUCACACUGAGCCAAGGAAAGGUGCUUAUGGAGCCUGGGCACAGAACCACAGAGCAGAGCAGUGUGAAUUGGAAGCCGAGAACCGGAACAGUGAGAGCUCUGGCAUACACUGAAGGGAAGCCACCAAGAUGUGGUUAUGGAUUUUAUUCCGCAUUUUCUUCACACGCCUUGAGGAACAGGCAUCUGGAGGUUGAACUGCAACUGGGUAGGAUCAAGACAUGGUCAAGGUCUUCAGGGUUCAUCACUACAAUAUGGAAAAGGCUGAGGAACACAACAUUGAUCCCAACACUGACAUUGCUAGGAUGAGAAAUUUUUAUAAAAGAGAUAGAAGGUUAACACAGCACAUCAGAGUUUGCCACAGCGAGAGAGAUUUGGGAGGUUCAAGCACCAAGAUCUCUACGUGGAAGUGACACACGCCGCUUUCACUCCAAAGAACUUUGUUUCACCUGCCUGUCAGAGGGCUGGACUCUUGGUCCAACAAGAGGAGAAAACUGAAUGUAUCUGUACUCAUUAUGGCUAUCACAUAUGCCUUUGAGAAUCAUUGGCUUCUUGUUCAUCUAGUUUGAUUAUCCUACCUUAAAGAAAGAGCAAUGGAUUUAUAUUCAUGACCUGAUGUAGUCCUAUAGCUUAACUUCCAGUUAGUGAUUUAAAAAUGUUAGUCUUUUAAAUUGCAUGUUCUCUGUGUUAGUA